UUUCAGAUCGUAUUCGAAGGCGUCCGAGGCAAGAGUUACAAAGGUGACAUGGCCCUGGACGAUGUCAGCGUCCAAGAUGGUCAAUGUCCUCCCCAGGCCCUUUGUACAUUUGACGAUCCCAGCAUGUGUGGUUGGAGAAAUAUCGCUGGAGAUAACUUUGAUUGGACAAGAUCAAGUGGAAGAACUGGUAGCUCGGGAACUGGACCCAGCAAUGAUCACACGUAUGGCACAAAUCAAGGUGAGGGAUACUGUAAUCCUCCAAGUAUGUGUAUGUUAAACCAGUGGACUUUUAUAUAUUUUGAGCAAGAACUUCAGUCAUUCGGCCCAUGAGAAAAAUGAAGCCUAGAUGGCGGAAAUUGACGUCAA
rnacentral:lncRNA from 1 species